rnacentral:tRNA from 1 species
GUGGGUGCAGCUCAGAGGCAGAGCAUGUGCUUAGUAUGCACGAGGUUCUGAGUUCAAUCCCCAGUACCUCA